rnacentral:rRNA from 1 species
CGGCCCUACGGGUUGUAAACUGCUUUUAUACUGGAAUAACCCUCGCUACGUGUAGUGGGCUGAAUGUACAGUAAGAAUAAGGAUCGGCUAACUCCGUGC